GUCAACUUGAGAGUUUGAUCCUGGCUCAGAACGAACGCUGGCGGCAGGCCUAACACAUGCAAGUCG
rnacentral:rRNA from 1 species